rnacentral:lncRNA from 1 species
GAAGUUGCAGCUAUGGCGAACUUGUAAUCUAAACAAAACCCAAGUCUAAACGAUGCCCUAAGGGUUGUAUAUAUGAGGAACAGAGAGGCAAUUUCGUGACCCUUUGAGGAGGGGUCCGAAAACAGCCCUAAACUCGGUUUCCCCACACAUACGGACUCUAAAAAUAGCCUAUAUUAUGGUAUUUUGAAAUUACAUGGGCCUGACCCAAAAAUAAGAUGGCGCAACACCUAUAAUAGCCUAUGGACGAAAUUUAUAAAGUGGCGUCUUGAAUAUUUCGUCCAAAGCCUUCAUGCUCCCCUUAUGGUGGCUUUAGAGUGUGAAAAUCACCAGUGGAAGCUCCAUUGUUCUCUCC